AUGUCUGUACAUCCUUCACACUGCCCUCCGUGCUCAUUCUGGCUUACUGAAGUUGGAAGAAGAACAAAGGAAAUUAUGCAGGCACUGUGGGUGAUAAUUAACAUAAGAAGGAUGCACAUUCUAAGAAGAGAAUUUGGUUUACAAACUCACAUAAAGAUGCAAAAUUCUUUCUAUGUGUCUUCCAAAAAUGACCAAAAGAAAAAAGUUAAAGAGAAAAUGAACAAACAAGCAAAAAACAAAACAAACAAACAUAAAACAGGAAAUAUGGAGUCUAUCUUAAGCAAAAAUAGAAAUGGUUGCCAAUGGUUACCAUGAGCUUGGAUAUAUUUCUUUGUCAUAUGGUAAGGUUGGGUUGAGGGAGUGAUACCAAAGCUCACUUGAUGUGGAAAUGGGUACAGAGUUUCAUGGAGUUCCACAAGCCUGAAAGGAGUGUUCAGCAACACAUCAGUUAAAAAAGGAGACUCUAAGGUUGCUAGCAGCUCUAGAAAAAAGGUGAGGUGAUGUACAUGGAAACCACUGGUCCAGAGACCUGGUCUCUUUAAUAGCAUUUGUGACUUUUUGUAGUUUAAGCCGCCAAAUUCAUUCUCUCCACCUACUCUGACCAUUUAAUGUCUGGCAAAGAGGAAAGUAAAGAGUGAAGAUGGCAUUCACUGGUUCAUAAAUCAAAAGGCUGACAUGUGGAGUCUGUAUGAGACAAACUAAUCUUCCAAAUUCUCAAAACAGAAGGAAUGGGCAUAUGCUCCAAGGAGUGGAAAUGUUAAAUUUGGUGAAUGUGUUUUGGAAAACAAUACCCAAAUCAAGAUGAAUACUUCUUCAAAGAACUUCAGAGAACUUUUCCUGGAACUUUUGCUUCUUCAUCUUUCACUGUAUGAAGCAACACUCAGCAAGUACUUUGUCACAUUUUUAAGAAAAUUAGUUAAGACUGGAUCACAGACUUGAUGCAAAAACAUUAACUAACAGAGUAAUACAAGAACAAUAAAAAAUGCAUAUUACAGAGGGGUAGUGGAGAG
rnacentral:lncRNA from 1 species